rnacentral:rRNA from 1 species
CUUAGUGGCGAACGGGUGAGUAACGCGUGAGUAACCUGCCCUAGAGUGGGGGACAACAGUUGGAAACGACUGCUAAUACCGCAUAAGCCCACGGUACCGCAUGGUACUGAGGGAAAAGGAUUUAUUCGCUUUAGGAUGGGCUCGCGUCCAAUUAGCUAGUUGGUGAGGUAACGGCCCACCAAGGCGACGAUUGGUAGCCGGACUGAGAGGUUGAACGGCCACAUUGGGACUGAGACACGGCCCAG